GGGAUGGACCGGCCGCUGGUGUACCUGUUGCAUUACCAAGUGCAUGGCAGGGUAGCCAAGCCGGGAAGGGAUAAACGCUGAAGGCAUCUAAGCGUGAAGCCCCCCUCAAGAUGAGAUAUCCCAUACGCAAGUAGUAAGACCCCUUGAAGACGACGAGGUAGAUAGGGCAGAGGUGGAAGUGUGGUAACACAUGGAGCUGACUGUUACUAAUAGGUCGAGGGCAUAACCAAG
rnacentral:rRNA from 1 species